rnacentral:rRNA from 1 species
AGUAACUGCGAGUGAAGAGGGAAAAGCUCAAAUUUAAAAUCUGGCAGUCUUCUGAUUGUCCGAGUUGUAAUUUAGAGAAGUGCUACCCGUGUUGGCCCGUGUAUAAGUUUCCUGGAAUGGAACCUCAUAGAGGGUGAGAAUCCCGUCUUUGACACGGACUACCAAUGCUUUUGUUGGUGUGCUCUCGAAGAGUCGAGUUGUUUGGGAAUGCAGCUCUAAAUGGGUGGUAAAUUCCAUCUAAAGCUAAAUAUUGGGGAGAGACCGAUAGCGAACAAGUACCGUGAGGGAAAGAUGAAAAGAACUUUGGAAAGAGAGUUAAACAGUACGUGAAAUUGCUGAAAGGGAAACGCUUGAAGUCAGUCGCAUUACUUGGGGAUCAACCUGCCUUCGUUGGUUGGUGUACUUCCUGAUUAAUGGGUCAGCAUCAGUUUUGACCGGUGGAUAAGAGCUUGAGGAAUGUGGCAUCUCCGGGUGUGUUAUAGCCUCUUGUUGUAUAUAUCGGUUGGGACUGAGGAACUCAGCACGCCGCAAGGCCGGGUUGUUUACAAUCACGUACGUGCUUAGGAUGCUGGCGUAAUGGCUUUAAUCGACCCGUCUUGAAACACGGACCAAGGAGUCUAACAUGCCUGCGAGUGUUUGGGUGGAAAACCCGAGCGCAUAAUGAAAGUGAAAGUUAGGAUCUCUGUUAGUGGAGAGCACUGACACCCGGCCCAGACCUUUUGUGACGGUGCCGCGGUUGAGCAUGUAUGUUGGGACCCGAAAGAUGGUGAACUAUGCCUGAAUAGGGUGAAGCCAGAGGAAACUCUGGUGGAGGCUCGUAG